rnacentral:rRNA from 1 species
UCCAGACUCCUACGGGAGGCAGCAGUGGGGAAUAUUGCACAAUGGGGGGAACCCUGAUGCAGCGACGCCGCGUGGGUGAAGGAGCGUUUCGGCGCGUAAAGCCCUAUCGGCAGGGAAGAAGGAGGACGGUACCUGACUAAGAAGCCCCGGCUAACUACGUGCCAGCAGCCGCGGUAAUACGUAGGGGGCAAGCGUUAUCCGGAUUUACUGGGUGUAAAGGGGGCGCAGACGGCAGCGCAAGCCAGGAGUGAAAGCCCGGGGCCCAACCCCGGGACUGCUCUUGGAACUGCGCGGCUGGAGUGCAGGAGGGGCAGGCGGAAUUCCUGGUGUAGCGGUGAAAUGCGUAGAUAUCAGGAGGAACACCGGUGGCGAAGGCGGCCUGCUGGACUGCGACUGACGUUGAGGCCCGAAAGCGUGGGGAGCAAACAGGAUUAGAUACCCCUGUA